rfam:Gossypium arboreum cultivar AKA8401 contig_24178_1, whole genome shotgun sequence.
AACCCAUAGUGAGGGCACCUUCUCAAUAAGUCCUUAUACCUCUCACAUGCAUCAUAUAACAUCUCUAAAUUGAUUUUUACAAAAAAAUAGAUAUCGUUCCUCAACUU